rnacentral:rRNA from 1 species
GAUGAACGCUGGCGGCGUGCCUAAUACAUGCAAGUCGAGCGAACGGACGAGAAGCUUGCUUCUCUGAUGUUAGCGGCGGACGGGUGGGUAACGCGUGGAUACCCUACCUAUAAGAGUGGGAUAACUUCGGGAAACCGGAGCUAACACCGGAUAAUAUUUUGAACAGCAGGGUUCCAGAGUGAAAGACGGUCUUGCUGUCACUUAUAGAUGGAUCCGCGCUGCAUGAGCUAGUUGGUAAGGUAACGGCUUACCAAGGCAACGAUGCAUAGCCGACCUGAGAGGGUGAUCGGCCACACUGGAGCUGAGACACGUUCCUGACUCCUACGGGAGGCAGCGGUAGGGAAUCUUCCGCUAUGGGCGAAUGCCUGACGGUGCAACGCCGCGUGAGUGAUGAAGGUCUUCGGAUCGUAAAGCUCUGUUAUUAGUGAAGAACAUAUUUGUAAGUAACUGUGCACAUCUUGACGGUACCUAAUCAGAAAUCCACGGCUUUCUACGUG